GUCAGUUUGGCCGAGUGGUCUAAGGCGCCAGACUCAAGUUGUGGUGGAGAAAUCCGCGUGGGUUCGAACCCCACAGCUGACA
rnacentral:tRNA from 1 species